rnacentral:rRNA from 1 species
CGUGUAGGCGGCUUAGUAAGCGUAGGGUGAAAUCCCGGGGCUCAACCCCGGAACUGCUCUUCGAACUGCUGGGCUUGAGAUAGUUAGGGGCAGAUGGAAUUCCUGGUGUAGAGGUGAUAUUCACAGAUAUCAGGAGGAACACCCGUGGCGAAAGCGGUCUGCUGGAACUUUUCUGACGCUAAAGCGCGUAAAGCGUAGGUAGCAAACA